CAGUUGCAUCCAGACACUCCUGAACUUUACCUGCCAAGUAACUACACAUCUUUAUAAUAGAGUUUUUCUGGACUUGCACCCUGAACGAGGUCAACUGAAACGACUGAGAUGAAGGGGAAGAAACAGCUGUGCGCUGAAAAUCCAUGGAAAAUUUGAGCCUUUUAAACUUUAAAAACAGUAGAAUUAAAUGUGGAUCUUCUCUCA